rnacentral:rRNA from 1 species
CCUACGGGAGGCAGCAGUGGGGAAUAUUGGACAAUGGGGGCAACCCUGAUCCAGCCAUGCCGCGUGAGUGAUGAAGGCCUUCGGGUUGUAAAGCUCUUUUGGCGGGGACGAUGAUGACGGUACCCGCAGAAUAAGCCCCGGCUAACUUCGUGCCAGCAGCCGCGGUAAGACGAAGGGGGCUAGCGUUGUUCGGAAUUACUGGGCGUAAAGCGCGUGUAGGCGGUUUGCCAAGUCGGGUGUGAAAGCCUUGGGCUUAACCCAAGAAAUGCACUCGGUACUGGCAGACUAGAGGACCGGAGAGGAUAGUGGAAUUCCCAGUGUAGUGGUGAAAUACGUAGAGAUUGGGAAGAACACCAGUGGCGAAGGCGGCUAUCUGGACGGUUUCUGACGCUAAGACGCGAAAGCGUGGGGAGCAAACAGGAUUAGAUACCCUGGUAGUCCACGCCGUAAACGAUGGGUGCUAGACGUUGGCGAGCUUACUCGUCAGUGUCGCAGCUAACGCGUUAAGCACCCCGCCUGGGGAUACGGCCGCAAGGUUGAAACUCAAAGAUAUGACGNGAGAAUGCGACGAGCACAGGAGGUAG